UCAAGCUGGGACAUCUGGGACAACAACUAUGGAGCAAAAUGCUAAAAAGAAGAGGUGCAUUCAUCCUAACUGGGACCACUUUUAUCCCAGAGCAGCUGGGGAAGUGCUGUCUUCAUUUGGCCAGCAAUAAUUAAUGUCGGGAAUAAUUAACCGGUCUACUCUUGGACUUGAAGGCAUCAGAUAGCAGGCAGAAAACCUGGCUUUAAAAGAGGAGCUCAGACUGGGAGCAGCAAUGUUCCAGGAGGAUUUCUGAGUCAAGCAGGAGAGCGACUGGCUUUGUGAAGUGUGAAUUUCAAAGAUCCUUAAAACCCUUGGCUGCACAGUUGGAGCAGUCAGGACCGAAGAACCAGCACCCCAGAGGACCUGCAUUUCCCCGGCACUUGCACUUUGAGUCAUGGCUGAGCCGCACAAGUUUCUUCAGAGUGAGAAAAGAAAUCUCCAUGCUCAGGCAGGCAUUGAAACAGCUAAUUUAUGUCAACACCAAGUCCGGGCUGCUUUAGAAACUGUCUCAUGUCUAUGCCUGAGCCUUUAAUCCCAUCUGAGAUAUCAGCCUGUGCUCAGAAAUAAUGUAACAACAAGAGUGACAGCAGCAUUAUGACCAGUCUGCCACGGGCUUUUCUCUGACCCUGCUGCUCAUAUCCUUUUACAUUUCUUCUGUCAAUUAGGUUAAAUAUGAGAAAAAAGGCAGGAGAAGGGCUCUUGUCAACUGGGGUACUAGCACAGCGCCUCGGGAACCAAGGGGGGGCUGUGGCCCACUUCUCCAAACAGGUAGAAAAUGGUGCCCAGGGCUGGCCAGGAUGCUUGAUCCAGGAAGCCCAAAAACUCACCCUUGGGAGACACAUUGUAGUGUAUGUACCCCAUGCCGUAGCAGCUGUACAUGAACAAUAAGGGGGACAUUGGCUAUCUGGUAACUGUAUGCUUAAAUAUCAAGCAACAGGCUGAUGUUACCCUGAAAACAACUUCUGUUGUUAACCCUGCCAUGUUUUUUUCCUCCACCUUAAUUGACCAUGAACCUGAACAAAACAGACAAUUGAAGAAGUCUAUUCCAGCCAGCCUGACCUGAAAGACGUGCACCUGGAAAAUCCAGAUUGGGAGCUUUUUACAUAUGGGAACAGCUUUAUGAGAAAUGGCCAAAGGAUGACAGGCUAUGCAGUGACCACGCAGGAUAAGGUGAUCGGGGCAAAGGCCUCGCCAGCAGAUGUGUCAUCACAGAAAGCCCAACUGAUUGCACUGAUGAGAGCCCAAGACCAGAGCGAAGGAAAAAAGGUAAACAUAUGGACAGACUCUAAAUAUGCAUUUAGUGUUGUCCAUGCCCAUGGAGCCAUCUGGAAAGAGGGAAGACUUCUGAACGCUCAAGGUAAUCAAAUCAAACAUGCUGAACAAAUACCUGCCCUCUUAGAGAGCAUUAAAAAACCUGCAGAAGUAGCUAUUAUGCAUUGUAGAGGUCACCAAGAAGGGGAAACCACCCCAGAAUUAGGAAAUUGUUUCGCUGAUAAAGCAGCAAGAGGGAAUGCAGAAAAAUAUAUUCGCAGUAAUUCCACAAAAAGAGAUUGACUUAUUGGGGUUCACCCCAAAAUAUGACCAAGCACACCACAAACUAAUCAAGUUUCUUAAAGCUGAGAUCACAAAAAGUGGGUGGGCUGUUACACCAGCAAAUUAGGUUGUAGUCCCACCCCUGAUACUUCGACAGCUAGCUCAGAGAGAACAUGAAAACACUCAUAUUGGGGCUGAAAACCUUCUGAAACAUCUAAAAAAGGUAGUAAUAGGAAAGGGAAUUACUGACAGUAGUGAGCAAAUGUGAAAUCUGCUGUAAAAACAACCCUGAUGUGAAGAAAAGAGUUACAUUAGAAGUAACAAAAGUGGGGAUCUUCCUGGAGAUUACUAGCAGAUAGAUUUUGUGGAGUUGCCACGCAAGGAGGGAGAGCAGUACAUACUGGUGUUAGCUGACACCUCCAGUGGAUGGCCGGAGGCUUACUCCUGUCGCACUAAUACAGCCAAGGAAGUGGUAAAAGUUUUGCUCAACCAUAUAAUUCCAAGGUUCAAGGUUCCCUUGGGGAUGUCAUCAGAUAGGGGAUCACACUUGGUUGCAACAGUGGCUAAAGAAGUUAGCCAGAUUUUGAGAAUUACUUGGGAUCUGCAUACACCUUAUAGACCUCAAGCGAGUGGUAAAGUUGAAUGUAUGAACAGGACUCUCAAAACACAAAUUAGCAAAAUUUGUCAGGAAACAUCUAUGACAUGGGUUCAGGCCUUGCCUAUAGCUUUUCUGAGAAUCCACAUUGUAAUGGUCUUGAUUUAAUGAAACCAGGCAGAAACACCAAUUAAUGUGGAGGUUUUAGUAUUUAUUCUUUUUCUGUGGGAAGGAGAGAUUAGGAGAAAAAAAACCAAAACAGGCUUAAGCUUAAAAAUGAACAAAAAUAGUUUUAUUAACACACACUAAAGGAAUGAAAAAAGUUGAGAAAAAGAAAAACUAAAACAGAAUGACACUUUAAAACACCCUUCUCUCCUCUUACAAACUAUUAACUUUCUUAUUAAACAACAUAGAAAGACACAAGUUGAGAUUUUCAGUCAGUUUCACUAUUUUGACAUAAUCACUCAUUACUUUAGGAGAAGAGUCUUUCUAAGGUCUUUUUUAUGAAGAUGUUUGCCACAAGACAAAAUAGUCCAGUGCUUCCAAUAUCACACAUCUGCUGAUGCCCAGGGUUUUUGCAGACUGUGAUAUUCUAUCAUCAAGACCUCUCAGCGUAUCUGGGGUACUAUUUACAAAUACUUCUUCUAGUCUAAAAUCAUCUUUGUCUCAAAGGCUGAGACCUCCUUUUAACCCAGGAGCGGGGGCUUCGAAGUUCUCAGUUAAAUCUCAAUCACAUCAGUCCUCAGUUUUGAUUAGAACUAGCAUUCUCUGAAACAACACUAAGAUGGUACAAAGAACAGCCCAUUUCUCCAUAGUUUACCUUAGAGAAUUCCAGUUAAAAAUGUCCACUUCUUCAAUCCUAUUCCAAUAUUAUUGGUUCUUUCACUUCUAACCCACUGACUUCAUUUGGUGUCUGUUCUAUGUACUCUCUGUUUUCUUUCUUCUUUCUCUCAAGGAAGAGUUGUGCUUUAAAAGUUCCAUGUUGCUAGGAAAGGGUUAAAUCUGCCCAGGCCUGCAAGGGCCACGUGCAUGCACCGGGCUGCAUGGGGCUGAAGAAAAUGCAAAGCUGUGCUGAUGGAGGAAGCUGGUGGAUGUCCUUUCUUCCACCCCUCGGUCUCAUCCAGGGCAGUCCGGUUCGGAGCUACCACAGAGCUGUAAAAGGGCUCAACCCGGGCCGCUCCCGUGUGGGCAGCAGCUCUCGGAGCUCCGGCUGGGCCCAGCCCAGAGGGCAGCAGGGCCCGACCCGGGCCCGGCCCGGCCGCCCACGAUGGUACCUCAUGGCUGAUUCCGAGAGAGAGACCCAUCUGCUGCAGAUUAGUUUUAAAUGCCCUUUCCAAAGUCACAUUGACAUCCUUACUGGUCAGCCUAGCUGCCAAUAUCUUGGCUAGCUCUCUGAUACGUCACUGUCCUCUCCCCAAAAACCACUCCAUGGUCCUGGCAGGGAAAAACAUUUCGCAUUUCUCUAUAACCAGAAAACAAAACUGUGCCAACCCAUGAUACACAUACAACCAAGGCAGAGACAUAACAUCAGUCCCUAUAAAAUACUGUAUGGCAGACCAUAUCAGAUCCCACAUGUUCCAUGUGAAAUUCACAUGAAGGGGAAACUUGGUUUACAGAGAUAUCUAAUGGCUCUAGAGAUAUCUAAUGCACUUUGCAGAAGCUCCAGACUUACAUUGUGCUAUCCAGACCCAUAGGAUUGGACACACCUGCACAUCCCUUCCAGCCUGGAGACUGGGUCUAUGUUAAGUGGUGGGACAGUGAUCCUCUACAAGCCAGGUGAAGAGGACCGUUCAAAGUUCUGCUGACCACCCUCACUGCAGUCAAAAUUGCUGACAAAAGACCCUGGAUUCACUACUCCAGAGUUAAGAAAGCUUCUGCUCCUGAGACAACUGUAAAAACGGAGGCUGAUGCAGAAAAAAACAUGCUUUAAAUGAUUCCUCUUCUGUGCCUAAAGAACUGUUAACAAUCAUCAUUAUUCUUCUUUGCAUGAUACCCAACUGUACAAAACAUUAUUACUGUUAGAUGUUUAUUACAGUUUAUUUUUAAUUAUUGCUAGAUAUUAAUAUAUUAUUAGAUAUUUACUGUUGUUAGAUAUUUACUGUUAUUAGAUAUUUAUCUAUUUUAGAUGUUUAUUAUUGUUAUUUAUUAUUGUAAGACAUUUAUUUGUUGUAGAAUACCUAUUAUUAGUAAAUAUUUAAAAUAGAGACUCGAUAAGGAAAAGACCCCCUCUAAAGGGCGGAAACAAAGCUUUAAGUUUUAGCUUUUGUGUUUUUCACAUUCUGUGUUGCCUAGGGGUGUAGUUCUGAGCCUCAUUUAGUGCUAGUAAGCUCUCUUCACAGAGUAGGUAGACAAAACAAAUCCUUUUCCUGCUGGAGACCAAGGACAAUGAGUACAGCUUUCAGGCCCAAAAGCCCAAACAACGGUAGGCUGAAGAGAGAAAACAAGAAGGAUGAGACCUCACAACCUGGAGCUGUAAGUGGACAGUUAAACCCCAAUAUGCAAAUGGACCAAAACUUAUAAACGUGUAAGACCUCAUGACCGGUUGUCAAUUUUGAUGACUGCUCUAAGUUCACCUUGGGUGUAGUCCUGGCCAGAUUCUUGUAUUGCCCAAGGUGUACCC